UCCGCUCCUUCUAGGAUCUCCUCCUGGUUGGCCCGCCUGCCUCCACUCCUGCCUCCACCAUGUCCAUCAGGGUGACCCAGAAGUCCUACAAGGUGUCCACCUCUGGCCCCCGGGCCUUCAGCAGCCGCUCCUACACGAGUGGGCCCGGUGCCCGCAUCAGCUCCUCGAGCUUCUCCCGAGUGGGAAGCAGCAGCUUUCGGGGUGGCCUGGGCGGCGGCUAUGGUGGGGUCAGCGGCAUGGGAGGCAUCACCACAGUCACGGUCAACCAGAGCCUGCUGAGUCCCCUUAACCUGGAGGUGGACCCCAACAUCCAGGCCGUGCGCACCCAGGAGAAGGAGCAGAUCAAGACCCUCAACAACAAGUUUGCCUCCUUCAUAGACAAGGUACGGUUCCUGGAGCAGCAGAACAAGAUGCUGGAGACCAAGUGGAGCCUCCUGCAGCAGCAGAAGGCGGCUCGGAGCAACAUGGACAACAUGUCCGAGAGUUACAUCAACAACCUUAGGCGGCAGCUGGAGACUCUGGGCCAGGAGAAGCUGAAGCUGGAGGCAGAGCUUGGCAACAUGCAGGGGCUGGUGGAGGACUUCAAGAACAAGUAUGAGGAUGAGAUCAAUAAACGUACAGAGAUGGAGAAUGAAUUUGUCCUCAUCAAGAAGGAUGUGGAUGAAGCUUACAUGAACAAGGUAGAGCUGGAGUCUCGCCUGGAAGGGCUGACUGAUGAGAUCAACUUCCUCAGGCAGCUGUAUGAAGAGGAGAUCCGGGAGCUGCAGUCCCAGAUCUCGGACACAUCUGUGGUGCUGUCCAUGGACAACAGCCGCUCCCUGGACAUUGACAGCAUCAUUGCUGAGGUCAAGGCACAGUACAAGGAGAUCGCCAACCGCAGCCGGGCUGAGGCUGAGAGCAUGUACCAGAUCAAGUAUGAGGAGCUGCAGAGCCUGGCUGCGACGCACGGGGAUGACCUGCGGUGCACCAAGACUGAGAUCUCCGAGAUGAACCGGAACAUCAGCCGGCUUCAGGCUGAGAUUGAGGGCCUCAAAGGCCAGAGGGCUUCCCUGGAGGCCGCC